rnacentral:lncRNA from 1 species
UGCGUUUGAAUUAAUGUGAGGGUUGUAUAAAGAACUUGUUGGUUGAAUGGCAUUACAACUUGUGUAGAGAUAAAAGAGUCUUGAUAGGCCUUGAGAAGCCAGAGUGUAAUAAAAGUGUUUGCUCAUGCUAUUUGCUAUGUUUUUCUUAGGAUGUCAACUUGAAAGCUAGAAAGUGUCUCUUUUGUUUAUAAGCUCUCAAUUUCAAAUUUCUUAUACUUGAUUGAUCUUAAAUGUUUACUUGUGGACAAGUAAAGAGCAAGUUUAGGGGAAUUGAUAUCAUGCAUAUUUACAUUGUUUUGAUAAUCUAUUCUUGUAUAUUUUGAUCAUUUAGACUAGCAUUUAGGUUUGUUUAGGUUGCAUUGCAUUGCAUUUGUGUGUUUUUAGGUUUGGAGAAGCAUUAAUGAGGUUUUGGAGCCAAAUGAGUUAUAAAACAUUCAAAUGAGUGGAGAAUGGUGCAGUAGCAGGCAACUACCGCAGGCAAAUGGAGGUUGCUACAAAUGGAGGUUGCUACAGGGCCGCAGGCUGCU